rnacentral:rRNA from 1 species
CCGGCGAUGUCCGAAUGGGGAAACCCAGUGCAAUUCGUUGCACUAUCGUUAACUGAAUACAUAGGUUAACGAGGCGAACCGGGGGAACUGAAACAUCUAAGUACCCCGAGGAAAAGAAAUCAACCGAGAUUCCCCCAGUAGCGGCGAGCGAACGGGGAGCAGCCCAGAGUCUGAAUCAGCUUGUGUGUUAGUGGAACGGUCUGGAAAGUCCGACGGUACAGGGUGAUAGUCCCGUACACCAAAAUGCACAGGUUGUGAACUCGAAGAGUAGGGCGGGACACGUGGUAUCCUGUCUGAAUAUGGGGGGACCAUCCUCCAAGGCUAAAUACUCCUGACUGACCGAUAGUGAACCAGUACCGUGAGGGAAAGGCGAAAAGAACCCCGGCGAGGGGAGUGAAAAAGAACCUGAAACCGUGUACGUACAAGCAGUGGGAGCACCUU